rnacentral:rRNA from 1 species
AAUCUUUUAACACUUUAUCUCUGGAUCUCUUGUCUCCGGCAAACAUGAAGAAAUGCGAUAAAUGCUGUAACUUGCGUAAUUUGCAGAAUUCUCUGAUCUUUGAAGUCUUUUAGCGCCCAUUGCGCUUCCGGGUAUUCUGGCUGGCAUGCCUGUCCUACCGCCCUU